rnacentral:hammerhead_ribozyme from 1 species
GGAUUGCUGAAGAGUCCCAUACUAGGACGAAACGGUCGUCCAGUGC